UCACAGAGAGAUAUUGAGAUGAGAUUUUCCAAAUUUCACAUCUUUCCACUUUUUUGAGCCAAACUCUAUCCUGUAAGAGAUCUAAUGCGUAUAUCACUCACUACAGUUACCAGCUGCUUGCAAGUACUCAAAGUAAUUACGUAGUCAGUGUCGCCAGAGGUCGCUGUGCACCAACAUGUUGCUGGUGAGGGGAGAUAACGGGAGAGGUGUGAUGAACCCGGGAUGUACACAGUCAGAAUCGAUAAAAAGGGGGGAACACCUUGAGAGAGGCGCAGACGAGCCGCCCCGGAGGCGACGUGCUAAGGAGGACCGGCGGCGGAGUUCAGCCCCGGGCCUGGGUGGCCCGCGUACGGGGGAGAGUCAGCGCGCCGCAGGAAUAUGUGCAGCUGAGAGGCACAUGCUCGGACAUUUCUCUGUCUAGAGCUCUUGAUCCGUUUUCAAGUCCUCUUUCAGAACAACUACUGCGCCCCCGGACGGAAACCUAUAAUUGGACGCGAGCCAGUGACGCGCUGAAAAUAACCAGGUUAGCGCACAGUACCGGUCCAUUUUGGGGAGGGCCCAGCCAGCGUGAGGGCGCAGCACCAUAUAUCACCUCCUUCCAGCUGUUUGGGAAUAUCCUGCUUGGAUUUUUCGAAGCUGUAACAUGGCAGUAGUAGCAGUAGCAGCAACAAGCUGCCCUUUCCCCUUUCCCUCCAUCGUUCCAGAACUGGAUGAGUGGACUGGGUGCGCACAGGGAAUCUCACGGCGAGGAGACGCAGACGGGUUUUUUUUUUUUUUUUUUUUUUUCCUUUCUAAAAGGGAGGGAGGGCAGGAGAUGGGUGACUGGCACAAGGCGCGACACUGUUGCAUGUUGUUUUUUUUGUUUUUUUCCUCCCUGGACAGAGGGAGGAAGAUGGGCCAGGGGUUGGACAGUCCGACUUUUCCCAAAAGACAAUUCGUCCCCCCCCCCACCCUCUCUCCACUCCCAGAAGGGAUAUUCUUGCACAAAUUUAGGAUGCGUGCAACACCAAGUGAUCAUAUAUUAGUUGGGCGGCGGUGGCGCCGGAGCUGGGGCUGGACGGUGAAGUUAAACUUCGCUUACAAAGACGCGAUCAACAGCAGGCAGACAGACAGGGAGUCAGGCAGCCGCACAUCCACCCAGACGCCCCCCCCCCCCCCCCCCCCUUGGCUGCGGGAUGCUGACACCUGUCCGGAGCGCAGGAUCUCCAGCCGUCGGUGGGAGUUUGAGAUCAAGGCUUCGAUCAGCUGGAAUGAUCUGCCUGAGUGAAGGGAGGAGGAGUAGCAUUUAUGAGGAUGUGUGUGAUUAAUGUUCAGUAUAAAAAUGUGUAUCCUGUGCAGAACAGAGCAGGCAGUAAUUGUGCUGUAAGCGACUACACAGCUCAGAUUACUUACAUUGUUGUGAAAAAUGUAGUUAUAAGUCAUCCAGUUAUUUGCAUAUUUAGAAUUAUAAAAUAUCUAAGACUGUUCUGUGCCUGUUGCUUUGUUGCCUUUGCUGAAACCUUUGCAGUAAAGUUUUGAUAGAUAGAUAGAUAGAUAGAUAGAUAGAUAGAUAGAUAGAUAGAUAGAUAGAUAGAUAGAUAGAUAGAUAGAUAGAUAGAUAGAUAGCAUUUAUUGUCACUGAACAGAAUUCAACGAAAUUUCCAUUGCUUUUUGCUUUUAUGUUUUACAAGUUGCAUGAGUGAAAUGUGUAAGAGUUGAGAAAAUUAAUGUUCUCAAGUUCAUUCAGGUACAUUUAUCUUGAAGCAAAGCUUCAGGGAGUUUUUGUCCAAUUUAACAAAAAGUAAGUCACUGUCACAUACAUUUUUGAAUUCUGAACUAUAUUCCUAAAAUGUUUUGCCAUUAUUAGGUCCAAAUGAAUUUUAUUGCAAUCCAGCUGCACCAUUUUAUUUUUCCCUGCACAGCUUUUCACAUGAAAUGCUGUAGUUAACAAACCACAGAACAAUCUCUCAGAUUUUAAAUGUCAAUGUGAACCAUUGAUGGUAAAAAGAAAGGACACCCUCUUUUGAUUUCGGAUGCUUUCAGGCUUUACCUGAUUGCUUAAAUAUAAUCACAAGAAUGCAAAAGCAUAAUACAGAUCCCACAUUGUCAUCAUUAAUAGCAAUAAACAAAGAUAAAACUAAGUUAUAUGACAAAAUGUAUUUCAUCCUACAAUUUAGCAGCUAGUAGAAUCCCCUUGAGCAGCAAUAACUUAAAAGGAGUCAGGCUUUCUUUUAAGCAUUUCCGCCAGGUCAAAGUUUGAACUUUGACUAAGGCUUUCCAACACUUUAUUUUUCUCUUUAUUUUGAUGUGCUUGGGUCAUUGUCUUGUUUCAUGAUCCAACUUUAGAUGCAGAACUCCUUUGGCUGGAGAAUAUGAUUUGGAGA